CUAUGACAGCAAAAACUUCAUUGUUAUUGCAACUUAUUGUAAAAAUACGACUUUGCUGACGAAAGUUGUUACAAUAAUUUAAAACAUAUACUGUCAGAAAAUUCUUUUCCUUUGUGUAUAAGAAAGACACAUAUAAUUAGAAAAAAGAAAUUAUUUAUGCAGUUACCGCAUCGAGAAGGCAAUGACAAUAACGAUGCGGACAAAUACUAGACUAGAGAACGAGAUUAUAAUUUAUAAAGAAAUAGUUUAUGCCGUAGAUAUUAAUUGCAAAGCUAUCAAGUUUUCCUUAUUUUUAUUUUACAGCUUUCGACGAUCACAUAUUCUUUUGAUAUCAAUAGGUGUGAUUUGUUUGACUCUUAAUCUUUAUGCAAUUGCUGUGAAUGCGUCGCAUGGAGCCGAUGUUGAACAAUUAUUAUUACACUUUCUAAUUGCAGUAAUCAUAUUUUUAUACUUGUUCUUGGCCAAUUAUGCCGGACAAGAAAUUACAGAUCACAACAAUCACGUAUAUUCCACUGCGUAAGAAAGAUAUAGAUUACAUGAAACAUUUUUCACGAAUUUUAACAAGGAUAAAGUUUGAUACAUAUGCUUCACACAUUUGUAGGCUGAAGAUUAUUGCAUUUUAUCAAAUUCUUGAUCUCUUGCCAUUACUUUUUAGGUACACUGUUCGAUGGUACACCGCGUCUGUACAUAUACAGAAGCUGAUACUAUUUAUUUUGCAAAGGGGUAGCAAAACUUUCAGUCUGAAUUUUGGCGGAGUAGUUUCAUUAUCUCUAGAGCUUUUCGCUGCGGUAAAAAUUAUUAAUUAUGCAUAACGUAUAACAUACAUACGGCAUAUCAUCACAUAAUACGUUUAAUAUAUGACGGAAGUUAGACAAGAUGUAUUUUAUUCCAGCUAACGAAGGCAUCGUUAUCCUAUUUCACCGUUAUAUAUUCUAUGCAGCAGUAAAGCAAAAAAUAGAUCAUACAAUUGUAUACUAUGAUUUGUAAGUAGAUGCACCAUUGUUGAAUCUUGUUAGAUAGAAAAUAAUAAUAUCUGUUCUUUUAAAUUGUACCGCGGCCGCUGUUUAUAUAUAUAAAGCAAGAAAAGAAUGAGAAAU